rnacentral:rRNA from 1 species
GAUGAACGCUGGCUACAGGCUUAACACAUGCAAGUCGAGGGGAAACGACGGGGAAGCUUGCUUCCCCGGGCGUCGACCGGCGCACGGGUGAGUAACGCGUAUCCAACCUGCCUCUGACUGAGGGAUAACCCGUCGAAAGUCGGCCUAAUACCUCAUGGCAUCGUCUGCGGGCAUCCAACGACGAUUAAAGAUUUCAUCGGUCAGAGAUGGGGAUGCGUCUGAUUAGCUUGUUGGCGGGGUAACGGCCCACCAAGGCGACGAUCAGUAGGGGUUCUGAGAGGAAGGUCCCCCACAUUGGGACUGAGACACGGUCCAAACUCCUACGGGAGGCAGCAGUGAGGAAUAUUGGUCAAUGGGCGAGAGCCUGAACCAGCCAAGUAGCGUGCAGGAUGACGGCCCUAUGGGUUGUAAACUGCUUUUAUGCGGGGAUAAAGUGAGGGACGUGUCCUUCAUUGCAGGUACCGCAUGAAUAAGGACCGGCUAAUUCCGUG